GCAGGCUCAAGUUCCCUGGAACGGGACGUCAGAGAGGGUGAGAGCCCCGUCGGUCUGUUUGUGCGGCUUUCCACGAGACGCUUUCGAGGAGUCGGGUUGUUUGGGACUGCAGCCCUAAGCAGGUGGUAAAUUCCAUCUAAGGCUAAAUAUUGGCGAGAGACCGAUAGCGAACAAGUACCGCGAGGGAAAGAUGAAAAGAACUUUGAAAAAAGAGUCAAAGAGUGCUUGAAAUUGUCGGGAGGGAAGCGGAUGGGGGUCGGCG
rnacentral:rRNA from 14 species